AUUGAACGCUGGCGGCAUGCCUUACACAUGCAAGUCGAACGGUAACAGGUCUUCGGAUGCUGACGAGUGGCGAACGGGUGAGUAAUACAUCGGAACGUGCCUAGUAGUGGGGGAUAACUACUCGAAAGAGUGGCUAAUACCGCAUGAGAUCUACGGAUGAAAGCAGGGGAUCGCAAGACCUUGUGCUACUAGAGCGGCCGAUGGCAGAUUAGGUAGUUGGUGGGAUAAAAGCUUACCAAGCCGACGAUCUGUAGCUGGUCUGAGAGGACGAUCAGCCACACUGGGACUGAGACAAGGCCCAGAGUCCUACGGGAGACAGCAGUGGGGAAUUUUGGACAAUGGGCGAAGGCCUGAUCCAGGAAUGCCGCGUGCAGGAUGAAGGCCUUCGGGUUGUAAACUGCUUUUGUACGGAACGAAAAGCCCCGGGUUAAUACCCUGGGGUCAUGACGGUACCGUAAGAAUAAGCACCGGCUAACUACGUGCCAGCCGCCGCAGUAA
rnacentral:rRNA from 1 species